rnacentral:lncRNA from 1 species
AUGCAUUUUUUUGGAAAUUAAGCUUACUGCAAUAAAAUCAAUUUACCAUGUUGCAACACAAAGCAUAACCAGAACCAUCUCAUCACAAAAACAAUAAAGUAAAAUUCACAAAUCAGAGCAUCUGAUUAUUUAAUAAUCUACUUUUAUUGACUAAAACUAAGACUAAUAACCCUUUUUACAUGUAAUAAUUCAAACAUUUGUGAAUUAGAUAACUCAAGUAGAUUUAUCUAAUUCACUCUCAACUCUCAAGUGUAUCUCCCAUUUCCGCCAUCGGGAAAGUUUAUGACUUUUCCACCUAUGCCCAUCUUUCCCCCAUUUUCCUUUUUUUUUUUUUUUNN